rnacentral:rRNA from 1 species
UACAGAGGUCUCAAGCGUUGUUCGGAUUCAUUGGGCGUAAAGGGCGCGUAGGCGGUCGUGACAAGUCACUUGUGAAAUCUCCGGGCUUAACUCGGAAAGGUCAAGUGAUACUGUCGGACUAGAGUACAGAAGGGGCAACUGGAAUUCUCGGUGUAGCGGUGAAAUGCGUAGAUAUCGAGAGGAACACCUGCGGCGAAGGCGGGUUGCUGGGCUGAUACUGACGCUGAGGCGCGAAAGCUAGGGGAGCGAACGGG